CGGGCGACGGUUGUCCCGGUUUAAGCGUGUAGGUGUGUGUUCCAGGUAAAUCCGGUUCACUUUAACACUGAGGCGUGACGACGAGGCACUACGGUGCUGAAGCAACAAAUGCCCUGCUUCCAGGAAAAGCCUCUAAGCAUCAGGUAACAUCAAAUCGUACCCCAAACCGACACAGGUGGUCAGGUAGAGAAUACCAAGGCGCUUGAGAGAACUCGGGUGAAGGAACUAGGCAAAAUGGUGCCGUAACUUCGGGAGAAGGCACGCUGACACGUAGGUGAAGUGAUUUACUCAUGGAGCUGAAGUCAGUCGAAGAUACCAGCUGGCUGCAACUGUUUAUUAAAAACACAGCACUGUGCAAACACGAAAGUGGACGUAUACGGUGUGACGCCUGCCCGGUGCCGGAA
rnacentral:rRNA from 1 species